GGAGCAUGCAGCUUAGUGGUAGAGUGUGUGCUGAGGAAGCACAAGGUCCUGGGUUCAAUCCCCAGUACCUCCA
rnacentral:tRNA from 1 species